rnacentral:misc_RNA from 1 species
GAUGAAGAACGCAGCGAAAUGCGAUAAGUAGUGUGAAUUGCAGAAUUCAGUGAAUCAUCGAAUCUUUGAACGCACCUUGCGCCCUUUGGCUAUUCCGAAGGGCAUGCCUGUUUGAGUAUCGUGAACACCUCAACUCUCAUGGUCUGCCAUGAUGAGCUUGGACUUUGGGGGUCUUGCCGGCCUAGCGUCGGCUCCUCUCAAAUGGAUCAGCUUGCCAGUGUUUGGUGGCAUCACAGGUGUGAUAACUAUCUACGCUUGUGGUUUUCUACCAUGUAACCUUCAGCGAUGGAGGUUCGCUGGGGCUCACAGACGUCUCUCCUUGGAGGACAGCUUUUUGAACGUUUGAUCUCAAAUCAGGUAGGACUACCCGCUGAACUUAAGCAUAUCAAUAAGCGGAGGA